rnacentral:rRNA from 1 species
AGUGGGGAAUAUUGCACAAUGGGCGCAAGCCUGAUGCAGCCAUGCCGCGUGUAUGAAGAAGGCCUUCGGGUUGUAAAGUACUUUCAGCGGGGAGGAAGGUGUUGUGGUUAAUAACCGCAGCAAUUGACGUUACCCGCAGAAGAAGCACCGGCUAACUCCGUGCCAGCAGCCGCGGUAAUACGGAGGGUGCAAGCGUUAAUCGGAAUUACUGGGCGUAAAGCGCACGCAGGCGGUCUGUCAAGUCGGAUGUGAAAUCCCCGGGCUCAACCUGGGAACUGCAUUCGAAACUGGCAGGCUAGAGUCUUGUAGAGGGGGGUAGAAUUCCAGGUGUAGCGGUGAAAUGCGUAGAGAUCUGGAGGAAUACCGGUGGCGAAGGCGGCCCCCUGGACAAAGACUGACGCUCAGGUGCGAAAGCGUGGGGAGCAAA